rnacentral:rRNA from 1 species
CGUGUAGGCGGUCAGGUAAGUUGGACGUGAAAGCUCCUGGCUCAACUAGGAGAGGUCGUUCAAAACUGCCUGGCUAGAGGGCGACAGAGGGAGGUGGAAUUCCCGGUGUAGUGGUGAAAUGCGUAGAUAUCGGGAGGAACACCAGUGGCGAAGGCGGCCUCCUGGGUCGCACCUGACGCUCAGACGCGAAAGCUAGGGGAGCGAACG